rnacentral:lncRNA from 10 species
UUCAUUCAUUCAUUUUGAACACCUAACAUAUACUAACAAAUGUGCCAAGUCCAGAAGAUUCAAGGCUGAAUCAGAGGACAUCCUUGACUUUAAAAAGCUGACAGACUAGAAGAGCCAAGCCUACAUGAAAAUAAAUAAAUGCAAUACGGACCAAAAGCACAAUUAUCGAAAUAUGUGCAGGGUAGAGGUGCUGAGCAGUGGGAAGAUACAGAAUAACUAAUGCCUGUUAGCUGCUUCUGUAUGUAUGCCAGGUAGUGUUCUAAGUGCUUUACUUACAUAUAUUAGCUCAUCGCCAACCUGUGAUCGUUUCCAUUAUCAUAUUGUUACACUCAUUUUAUAGAUGAGGGACUGAGACAAAGAGUGGUUGCCUAGCUUGCCCAAAGUCACUCAGCUAUACUGAGUGGCAGAACCAGGAUUUAAAUAAUAUGAACUCUGUGCUCUCAACCUCUACACAUUUGCUGUCCAGACUGUCCAGCAGACUGUCUAGGAAGAAAUGCAAAGCACUUUAAGCAGAGAGGGCAGCUUGGGCAAGGGCACUAGUGCAGGAAAGACACAAGCACCUUGUGGAGUCAAGCAGAUAGGAUACCAGAAGGCUGAGGAAUAUGCCACAUCAUAGGGAGGCUUGGAUCAGUUUUGGUAGACAAUGAGAGGACAUUGAAGGAUUUUAGUCAGAGGAGUGAUGGGGCAGAUCUGUUUCUUAAAAAGAUUAUUUUGACUGUGUUAGGGAGGAUGUGCUGCAGAGGAUCUGGAUGCAGGUGGGGAAGGGAGGAUGUGUUGCAGGAGGAUGUGUUGCAGAGGGAGGAUGUGCUGCAGAGGGUCUGGAUGCAGGUGGGGGAACCCCCUUUAGAGACGACUUCUCCCAGGUAAGAAAAGGCUGUAGCAGUGGAGUUGGAGAGAGAAGAAUGGACCAGAGCUAUUUUAAGGAAGACUAGGCCAGUGCUGGUUUUGAUUAGUGGAUGUCAAACUUAGUGGUCGUUUGGUAUUUUUACACGAAACCUUCAACAGAAUCAACAGUGUGCUUCAUGAAGGCAGAGCCCAGAUUUGUUUUUCUCGCCGUUGUACUCCCAAGACUUGGUAAUGUGCUCAGGAAAUGCUUAUUGAUUGAAUGAGUUAAUGAAUAAGUGAAUAAACCAAGAAGUAAAUAAAAAAAAGAAUGAAUCAAAGAAAUGACUCAGUAUUGGAUUAGACCAAGUGCAUAAGAGAAGAAGUUAAUGGACUCUCAAAUGACUUGCCGAAAAGAUUAAGUCAAUUUCUCUUUUCUUAUGCAAUACAUUUUGUGUCCAGGCCUUUCUUAUGAGUAUUGUGUGUGGAACAUAAAGCAACCAACUUAGCUCCACGAUUUAGCUAUUGGGAGACCCAUGAAAGAGCCUACCCAGCCCUGCCUGCCUCUGGGGGUCUCGGUCAUGUCAUGUGACUACAUCGCUUGGCUCUGUUUCCAAGUUCCCCACCUCUAACCUCUCUGGAGCUCACAUUCAUCUUUCAAAAACAUCACUUCUGUUAUAUCACCCAUCACUCACUCC